rnacentral:tRNA from 1 species
UAAGAUAAGAUAGGAUUUGAACCUACGAUAUUUUUAAUAUAAUAAUUUUCAAAACUACCGCUUUAAACCACUCAGCCACUUAUCC